GGACGUAUAGCCUUGAGCAUAUAGAGCCAUGAUAGAUAGACAGGACACAAGUCAACACAGCCAUAUACAGUUAUAUAACUCAACAAAAAAAGAUUGAACGGAACAAGCGUGCUUUCUAUGUUGAUUGGAGUCUCGGUGCCUCGUACAGGCUGCUAGGGACAAACCGCUCUGGCAGUACGAUGUAAGUAAACAAGCAAUAAUGAGUACUAGGAAUCUUUAUGUCUUUUUUUGUUGUUGGUUUUAGUCGUUUUUGUACUGAUUUUGUUUUCCUGGUCAUGUUAUGCUCCGUGGUCCGUCAGACUCGGUAUUAAAAAAACACAGAGACUUUUUUUUUUUAUUUUUUAAACUGGUUAAACGUCCCUCACAGAUCAUGCUGCAGCGUUUGUACGUCAUAAAAUGGCACACUAUUCCCUACAUAGUGCACUACUUUAGGCCCUAAGCCCUAUGGCAUCAUAUUCCCUCGCCCCAUCAGUAACUGGUAUGUUGACCAGUCCCUCUUGAUCCUAUGUGCCUUUCGGGAUGCAGCCAUUCCCUCUCUGACCACAGAGCAGAGACCUAUUGGGCCCUUAUCCAAUCUUUCCUUCCUUUAAGUAGUCACUUGGUAUGCCAUGACUGGAUAGGUGACACACAUGUAAUGGGUUGUGUCCCAAAUGGCACCCUAUGCCCUUUAUAGUGCACUAUUUUUUUGUCUGGGGCCAAUAGGGAUCUGGUAAAAAGUAGUGCACUAUGUAGGUAAUACUGGAUGGAGUCCACGGAAUCAACUAUGUGGUUCAGAUGGUUGGAGGUUGGAGCACGGUGCUAGGAGCGCGGUGCUAGGAGCGCUAGGAGCACGGUGCUAGGAGCGCUAGGAGCACAGUGCUAGGAGCGCUAGGAGCAUGGUGCUAGGAGCACUAGGAGCACGGUGCUAGGAGCGCUAGGAGCAUGGUGCUAGGAGCACAGUGCUAGGAACGCUAGGAGCACGGUGCUAGGAGCGCUAGGAGCGUGGUGCUAGGAGCGCUAGGAGCACGGUGCUAGGAGCGCUAGGAGCACGGUGCUAGGAGCAUGGUGCUAGGAGCACGGUGCUAGGAGCACUAGGAGCACGGUGCUAGGAGCGCUAGGAGCAUGGUGCUAGGAGCGCUAGGAGCACGGUGCUAGGAGCGCUAGGAGCACAGUGCUAGGAGCACGGUGCUAGGAGCGCUAAGAGCACGGUGCUAGGAGCGCUAGGAGCACAGUGCUAGAAUCACGGUGCUAGGAGCGCUAGUAGCACGGUGCUAGGAGCGCUAGGAGCACGGUGCUAGGAGCGCUAGGAGCACGGUGCUAGGAGCGCUAGGAGCACAGUGCUAGGAGCGCUAGGAGCAGAGUGCUAGGAGCGCUAGGAGCACAGUGCUAGGAGCGCUAGGAGCACAGUGCUAGGAGCGCUAGGAGCACGGUGCUAGGAGCGCUAGGAGCACGGUGCUAGGAGCGCUAGGAGCAUGGUGCUAGGAGCGCUAGGAGCACGGUGCUAGGAGCGCUAGGAGCACGGUGCUAGGAGCGCUAGGAGCACGGUGCUAGGAGCGCUAGGAGCAUGGUGCUAGGGGCGCUAAGAGUCAUAUUCCCUUGUCGCUGUAAUGGGGGAUGGUGACAUCAUAUUCCCUCGUCCCAGUAAUGGGGGAUGGUGACAUCAUAUUCCCUCGUCCCUAUAAUGGGGGAUGGUGACAUCAUAUUCCCUUGUCCCUGUAAUGGGGGAUGGUGACAUCAUAUUCCCUCGUCCCUGUAAUGGGGGAUGGUGACAUCAUAUUCCCUCGUCCCUGUAAUGGGGGAUGGUGACAUCAUAUUCCCUCGUCCCUGUAAUGGGGGAUGGUGACAUCAUAUUCCCUCGUCCCUAUAAUGGGGGAUGGUGACAUCAUAUUCCCUCGUCCCUGUAAUGGGGGAUGGUGACAUCAUAUUCCCUCGUCCCUGUAAUGGGGGAUGGUGACAUCAUAUUCCCUCGUCCCUGUAAUGGGGGAUGGUGACAUCAUAUUCCCUCGUCCCUGUAAUGGGGGAUGGUGACAUCAUAUUCCCUCGUCCCUAUAAUGGGGGAUGGUGACAUCAUAUUCCCUCGUCCCUGUAAUGGGGGAUGGUGACAUCAUAUUCCCUCGUCCCUAUAAUGGGGGAUGGUGACAUCAUAUUCCCUCGUCCCUGUAAUGGGGGAUGGUGACAUCAUAUUCCCUCGUCCCUAUAAUGGGGGAUGGUGACAUCAUAUUCCCUCGUCCCUAUAAUGGGGGAUGGUGACAUCAUAUUCCCUCGUCCCUGUAAUGGUAUAGUGGCUUUAGGUGCAUCAAAAGUCACAUUCCGAUCUCGAAUCUACAUCCUCUAAUCCUGAAAUGUUGUAGCUUGGUCCCAUAUAUUUGUGUUCUUGCUUACUCCAUUGCUGCCAACUCUAUGUUGUCAUGACAAUUAGUGACAAGGAGUUGGCAUGAUGGCACAAACAGACUGGCGCUCAUGCUAGCAAUGUUGAUAUUUCUGAUGUUAAGCCAGACAUUACUAUGGACAACAAGCCAAAUAUCCCAUGCCUUGUAAAUUGGGUUAUGAAUUCUACCAGCCGUUCAUUACAAAAUGAAGGACAGAGGUGGACUUAGCUGUGUUUCAUCAGUUUUAAAUUAAACCGGCCCCUAAACUGUUAAAUCUGCCUCGGAUAAAGAGCCUAUUAGCAGCCCAGACACACACAGUGUGUGUGUGUGUGUGUGUGUGUGUGUACAGCAUAAUACAUGUAUUUGAUGAGGGUCUGAGAUAAAUUGAAUGUAUUGUCAUUGGCUGAGCUCAGACCAGAAGAGGCUGUAAAAGUGUUGCGCUGCACCUCAAAUGAUUUCCUGUUCCUUAUAUAUAUAUAUAUAUAUAUAUAUAUAUAUAUAUAUAUAUAUAUAUAUAUAUAUAUAUAUAUAUAUAUAUAUAUAUAUCCUGUUCCCUAUGGGCCUCGGGUCAAAGGUUGUGCUCCAUAUAUGUAAUGAAGCCCCUUUUGGGAUGCAGCCCAUCACUGGGAGAAGCUGUAGAAUAUGGUUCUCAUUGGAUGGUCUAGAACUGCCCAAAACCUGAUGGAUUAAAUUACUUAUAAGCCCUGGUCUGAGAACAGUUUUGAUUUGUACUUCCCGAAUGGCAACUGCUAGGAUUGGUCAUGGAGAGAAAGCUGAUCAAAGACAGUUGAAAGUAAGAGUGUUGAUCUAGGAUCAGUUUAGUCUUUACAUUACAAUGAAUGGACAAAGGGGAACUGAUGAUAGAUCAGUAUUUCUCAAAUUAUUUGGGGAAUAAUAUACUUUAUCCUCUCUUUGGACACUGAGGUACAGUAGCAUUUUGGAGCAUAGGGAUGCUAUAAUUUAGUGAUUCCAUGUGUAACUCUAUGGUGUGGGGCUCUGUCUCUCAGAGAAGGGCGCAUUCACAUUGUUUUGGUGUACGAUUUAUCACAAUUUAUCGAUCACACUUUUGAUAAAAGCUGGAUGUCAAAACAAAUCAAAUCAACCCCCCCCCCGUUUGCAAAUUUCCAAAGAUUUGUUAAGAUUUUGAAAUGAAUAUAAGCCAUGGGGUAAUGCAUUUUGUGUCAGUACUUGGAGCAAACAAACUAUUUACACAACAACAACAACAACAAAAUGAUCAUACAAACUUUGAAUUUAAAACAAUUUACGAAAUAAUUCCUCUCUUUAACUUUUUUAAUAAUAUGUCCUGUUUUUGUAUAGUCUGCUGAUUUUUCUUAGCGCUAAAAUGCAAGAACCUUAAUGCUAAUAAUCUAGCAUAUUGCCUUAGAUUGUUUGUUCUCGUUCGUGUGUAUUAUAAGGCUGUAUUAUAUUUGUAUUGUGAUAAUGUACAUUAUUAAAUGGGUGAUAAAUCAAUGCUCAUCACCAAUCUUAGUUGGUGGUGAUGAGACUCACAGUAGUCUCUCUCUCUCUCUCUCUCUCUCUCUCCCUCCCUCUCGCUCUCAUAUAUAUCUGUGAUUGGUUAAAGGCUGUAUUUGCAUAUUUCCAUUUCCCCUCGUCACAGAACUGUUUGUCAGUCGGACUGUGUGUAUGGAAGAAAAAAACCGAUGCAAUAUGUCAUAUAUUCUAUGGACUUUCUGGAGAAGGAAAGCUUAGUUGUUAACCACUGCUCUGAGAUGGAUUCUUCCAGCCGUGUUGUUCAUUGGAAACGUCGACACUGUUCGUUCGCUCACCCAUCACGCAUCAACGUUUUGUAAUAUUUAGUGUUGAGCAUUUUAUUUUGAAAAAGUUAGAUAUACCAACAGAAGUUUAAACAAUUAUAUGCAAGUUGUUAACUAAUAAGGCUUCGCUGAUGCUAUUUGCAAUUUUAAUGUUGAAUAAUACCAUUGUAAAUAAAGAAUUAUGUUAUUGCAAC
ensembl:lncRNA